rnacentral:rRNA from 1 species
AAUUCCUAGUGUAGAGGUGAAAUUCGUAGAUAUUAGGAGGAACACCAGUGGCGAAGGCGACUUUCUGGACUGUAACUGACGCUGAGGCACGAAAGUGUGGGGAGCGAACAGGAUUAGAUACCCUGGUAGUCCACACCGUAAACGAUGAAUACUAGGUGUCGGGGGUCGAACCUCGGUGCCGCAGCUAACGCAUUAAGUAUUCCGCCUGGGGAGUACGCACGCAAGUGUGAAACUCAAAGGAAUUGACGGGGACCCGCACAAGUAGCGGAGCAUGUGGUUUAAUUCGAAGCAACGCGAAGAACCUUACCAAGUCUUGACAUCCUUAUGCAAAUCUCUUAGCCGAGAUGUUCUCUUCGGAGACAUAAGUGACAGGUGGUGCAUGGUUGUCGUCAGCUCGUGUCGUGAGAUGUUGGGUUAAGUCCCGCAACGAGCGCAACCCUUAUGUUUAGUUGCCAUCAGUUAGGCUGGGCACUCUAGACAGACUGCCGUGGACAACACGGAGGAAGGUGGGGAUGACGUCAAAUCAUCAUGCCCCUUAUGAUUUGGGCUACACACGUGCUACAAUGGUCGGUACAACGGGCAGCGAAGGAGUGAUCUGGAGCGAAUCCUAAAAAGCCGAUCUCAGUUCGGAUUGUAGGCUGCAACUCGCCUACAUGAAGUUGGAGUUACUAGUAAUCGUGGAUCAGAAUGCCGCGGUGAAUGCGUUCCCGGGCCUUGUACACACCGCCC